AUUGAACGCUGGCGGCAUGCCUUACACAUGCAAGUCGAACGGCUGCACGGGAGCAAUCCUGGUGGCGAGUGGCGAACGGGUGAGUAAUAUAUCGGAACGUGCCCAGUCGUGGGGAUAACGUAGCGAAAGCUACGCUAAUACCGCAUACGAUCUAUGGAUGAAAGCGGGGGAUCGCAAGACCUCGCGCGAUUGGAGCGGCCGAUAUCAGAUUAGGUAGUUGGUGAGGUAAAGGCUCACCAAGCCGACGAUCUGUAGCUGGUCUGAGAGGACGACCAGCCACACUGGGACUGAGACACGGCCCAGACUCCUACGGGAGGCAGCAGUGGGGAAUUUUUGGACAAUGGGCGCAAGCCUGAUCCAGCAAUGCCGCGUGCAGGAUGAAGGCCUU
rnacentral:rRNA from 1 species